UUACAGCCAUAUCACGUUGAAACACCGCUUCUCAUACUAUCACCGAAGUUAAGCAACGUUGAUCCAGCUCAGUACCUAGACAGAUGACCGCUUAGGAAUACCAGAUGCUGUAAG